UAGAUUUAAAGUCUCGAUUGGAGUUAUUAAAGAUUUCAGAAUUUAUGAUCUUAUGAUCUACCCUUUCGAUCAAGGUAUGGUUGGAAGAUCGGUAAAUUUCAGUGAACUUAAGUCUUGAACUUUCGGUUGUUUGUUUGAGUCGUGUCAAUUGAUAUGAUUUGCCUUUUAAAACAAAGGCAUAGUUGAAAUAUGUUUGCUUGUUUUUCAUCCUCCUAAUUUCCCUAACAUUAUUGAUUUUAUUAAAUUAAUGUAGCUUUUAAUGCUGGAAGCACUUACAGUUCAUGUUUAUGUCUACCGGACCUUCAAUUAAAUUUCUAAAUUCUAUGACCCUUGAGAUUACUUUUAUUAAUAUUAUUUCUUGAUGAAAAUUCCAAUUAUUUGUUUGGUGGUUGUGUAUUUCAAAUCGUCGGUGAUUAACAAUAGCAUCUUUCAGACUUGGUAGCAUUUGUGGAGCUUAGAGAUACAUGGACCAUCUGAUUUUUUUUUGUUCCCCAAACUGACUCUAAAUAUAUGUCCCAUAUGAUAGAUAUAUUUAAUUUAAAAUAUACCACAUUUCUUGGGGAAUCAAGAAAGCAGCUGAUUUCAUUGGCAAAUUGGUCCCAUUCUCUAAGUAGAUUCAAGAAAAUACAAAUUUGAUAUUCAUGGCAUAAUUGGUAAAUAGUAUUGUUAUUGAUUAAACAAUACAAUUGGCAAGAUUUUAGUUUCUUUUUAUUCUUUAAUACUUCCAUGUAGUCCCCUUACCAAACAUAUUUAAUUAACAGUGUGUCAGUGGGCCGACUCUUCAAGUUUUCUUUUGGAACCAUAUAUAGAAAGGAAGGUUAGAUAUCUUUGAUAGGGUUGUAUUUUUGGUUAAAAUGGGAUGGUGUUCAAACUCACAAAAUGCAGUCUAGACAGUGGGCAGAAACUGGACUGACUCGAAGAGUGGUCAAUCUCCUACACUGCGUGCUCAUCAAGGUCCUCCUAAUUAAGGUAAUGUGGUUCAAUAUUUUCAACUGCUAAUGCAUUUGCUGCUGGAUACGAACUUUGUGCUAACAUUUGGCAAUUUGGAAGCUACUAUACAUAAAGGAAUAAUACUUUUAUCUAUCUUUAUUUUGUAGUCUACACUUGUCUUUCCUUUACACUUUAUUCUUCUUCUUUUGCUUCCUUUCUUGCAAUUUUUGAGAUAUAGUAUAAAACUUUUACUGCCA